rnacentral:rRNA from 1 species
UUCCGGUUGAUCCUGCCGGACCCGACUGCUAUCAGAGUGAGAUUAAGCCAUGCGAGUUAACGUAGCAAUACGUGGCGCACGGCUCAGUAACACGUAGUCAACAUGCCCAGAGGACGUGGAUAACCUCGGGAAACUGAGUCUAAACCGCGAUAAGUGAGGAUUUCUGGAAUGGUUCCUGACUAAAAUCUAUAUGGCCUCUGGAUUGGACUGCGGCCGAUCAGGCUGUUGGUGAGGUAAUGGCCCACCAAACCUGUAACCGGUACGGGCUCUGAGAGGAGGAGCCCGGAGAUGGGCACUGAGACAAGGGCCCUGGCCCUAUGGGGCGCAGCAGGCGCGAAACCUCUGCAAUAGGCGAAAGCCUGACAGGGUUACUCUGAGUGACUUUCGCUAAGAAAGUCUUUUGGCACCUCUAAAAAGGGUGCAGAAUAAGGGGUGGGCAAGUCUGGUGUCAGCCGCCGCGGUAAUACCAGCACCCCGAGUGGUCGGGACGAUUAUUGGGCCUAAAGCAUCCGUAGCCGGUUCUGCAAGUCCCCCGUUAAAUCCAGCUGCUCAACAGAUGGGCCGCGGAGGAUACUACAGAGCUAGGAGGCAGGAGAGGCAAGCGGUACUCAGUGGGUAGGGGUAAAAUCCGUUGAUCCAUUGAAGACCACCAGUGGCGAAGGCGGCUUGCCAGAAUGCGCUCGACGGUGAGGGAUGAAAGCUGGGGGAGCAAACCGGAUUAGAUACCCGGGUAGUCCCAG